CAACAGCACGUGAGCCACUCAUGUAAUAUUGUUCCCCUAAAAUUUUUCCAUCCGAUCGCUUUCGCUAGUGCGUCUGUUGAACCGACAAUGCUGGCGUUGGUUAUCGGCUCUCUCUCCGUCGCCGUGAUCGGAGCCUUUCUGGUGAAGUUCGCAACGGCAGAUGGGGAUUUUACUUUGCUAUCCAAGGGUCGAGCGAAGCGCGAGCUUGUGGAAGGCAAGGUCGUCUGGAUUACUGGCGCAAGCCGUGGAAUUGGUGAGUGAAUUCCAUCCCAUAUGUAUGAAUGUUUGUGCGUGUAU